AAGGAUAUAUUCGGAACAUCUUCUACGAAGAUGCGGAAUARCGUGACAUAUUGUAUUCAGUUUUGAAUGUUUAUUAACAUUCAAAUAAAUCGUUUUAAAAGAGAGCGUUUGACAAAUAAUACUAUUUGCCAAUGCUUCAUUUAAAAUUGAUUGUUGUACAUUGAAAACUAGAUAAGUAAGUAAAUUAGAUUUUACCAAGCAAAACCGAGUGAAUUAGAGUUUUAAAUAAGCUUGAAUUCAUAAGAAAUAAUCGCUAGUGUUCGAAAGAACACUCACAAGAUUAAUAACAAACACACUUAUAUAAUUUUGAAAGAAAACGUUUGUCAGGCGAGGCGUUGAAGCAUUUCUAAGCGCAGUUUACUUUUGUAAAUGAGCAUUAGAAAUGAUGAAACAACRAAGCAUGCGAGCGUUUGACUCAAAAUGAAUGAGCUUUAAAAGAAAUCGUAUUCAGAUAAUGAGUUGAACCAUUUUGAAGCGCAGUGUGGAA
rnacentral:misc_RNA from 1 species